AACACCGUUUCUCGUUCUAUUUGUGCCCGAAUACCAUAGUUUAAACCCUGAGUUUUCUAGAUCCUUUGCCUUACUACCAACCCACUUGGUUUCUUGUAGGCACAUAAUAUUUAUCCUUCUCCUCACCAUAACUUCUACUACUUCCAUAGAUUUUCCCGUCAAGGUUCCUAUACUCCACGUUCCUAAACGCAUUUUGCUCUCUUGAACUCUACCCUUCUGUCCUAGCUUCU
rnacentral:lncRNA from 1 species